rnacentral:rRNA from 1 species
AUUGAACGCUGGCGGCAGGCCUAACACAUGCAAGUCGAGCGGAUGAAGAGAGCUUGCUCUCUGAUUCAGCGGCGGACGGGUGAGUAAUGCCUAGGAAUCUGCCUGGUAGUGGGGGACAACGUUUCGAAAGGAACGCUAAUACCGCAUACGUCCUACGGGAGAAAGUGGGGGAUCUUCGGACCUCACGCUAUCAGAUGAGCCUAGGUACGAUUAGCUAGUUGGUGAGGUAAAGGCUCACCAAGGCGACGAUCGUUAACUGGCCUGAGAGGAUGAUCAGUCACACUGGAACUGAGACACGGUCCAGACUCCUACGGGAGGCAGCAGUGGGGAAUAUUGGACAAUGGGCGAAAGCCUGAUCCAGCCAUGCCGCGUGUGUGAAGAAGGUCUUCGGAUUGUAAAGCACUUUAAGUUGGGAGGAAGGGCAGUAAGUUAAUACCUUGCUGUUUUGACGUUACCGACAGAAUAAGCACCGGCUAACUUCGUGCCAGCAGCCGCCGCAGUAA